rnacentral:lncRNA from 1 species
AGGGGGCCUUCUUCUUUCUUGGUUCCACUCUCUCUUACUUUCAGGCUUUUGCCACCAACCUCCCAUUAUUCUUCCUUUUGCCACCAACCUCCCAUUAUUCUCCCUCUCUGACUCCAAUACUGACUUGACCAUCGGAGGGUCCCUCAUCGAAGAACCUCCCACCGGUUCCUCUGAUGUGCCGACUUUUCCUUGUAGGUACUCGAUGAUCGGGUCUGGUGCCCCCCACUCUAGCUUGGCAGCUGGCAGCCACCUCAUCACGGUGCUCGUACCACAUCACCCCUUGGGUCGGAGAGGAAUAACAAUAGAAUGGCGCU